rnacentral:rRNA from 1 species
UACGAAGGGGGCUAGCGUUGUUCGGAAUCACUGGGCGUAAAGGGUGCGUAGGCAGGUCUUUUAAGUCAGGGGUGAAAUCCUGGAGCUCAACUCCAGAACUGCCUUUGAUACUGGCGAUCUCGAGUCCGGGAGAGGUGAGUGGAACUGCGAGUGUAAGAGGUGAAAUUCGUAGAUAUUCGCAAGAACACCAGUGGCGAAGGCGGCUCACUGGCCCGGUACUGACGCUGAGGUGCG